rnacentral:rRNA from 1 species
GCGUGCAGGCGGCUAGCUAAGUCUGAUGUGAAAGCCCGGGGCUCAACCCCGGAAGUGCAUUGGAUACUGGUUGGCUAGAGGACGAGAGAGGGAAGUGGAAUUCCUGGUGUAGGGGUGAAAUCCGUAGAUAUCAGGAGGAACAUCAGAGGCGAAGGCGGCUUCCUGGCUCGUUUCUGACGCUGAGACGCGAAAGCGUGGGUAGCAAACAGGAUUAGAUACCCUGGUAGUCCACGCCCUAAACUAUGGAUACUAGUCGUUGGAGUUCCUAAUAGCUUCAGUGACGUAGCUAACGCAUUAAGUAUCCCGCCUGGGGAGUACGGUCGCAAGAUUAAAACUCAAAGGAAUUGACGGGGGCCCGCACAAGCGGUGGAGCAUGUGGUUUAAUUCGAUGCUACGCGAAAGACCUUACCUGGGCUUGACAUCCCGGGCUACCCUGGGAAACCAGGGGUUCCCUUCGGGGACCCGGUGACAGGUGCUGCAUGGCUGUCGUCAGCUCGUGUUGUGAGAUGUUGGGUUAAGUCCCGCAACGAGCGCAACCCUUGUCGUUAGUUACCAUCAUUAAGUUGGGCACUCUAACGAGACCGCUAGGCUAUAAGCCAGAGGAAGGUGGGGAUGACGUCAAGUCCUCAUGGCCUUUAUGUCCAGGGCGACACACGUGCUACAAUGGGUCGGAUAAAGCGCUGCUAAAUCGCAAGAUCACGCAAAUCGCAAAAACCGGCUCUCAGUUCGGAUUGGAGUCUGCAACUCGACUCCAUGAAGGUGGAAUCGCUAGUAAUCG